GAUGAACGCUAGCUACAGGCUUAACACAUGCAAGUCGAGGGGAAACGAUAUUGGAAGCUUGCUUCUGAUAGGCGUCGACCGGCGCACGGGUGAGUAACGCGUAUCCAACCUGCCCAUCACUUGGGGAUAACCUUGUGAAAGUAAGACUAAUACCCAAUGACGUCUCUAGAAGACAUCUGAAGGAGAUUAAAGAUUUAUCGGUGAUGGAUGGGGAUGCGUCUGAUUAGCUUGUUGGCGGGGUAACGGCCCACCAAGGCGACGAUCAGUAGGGGUUCUGAGAGGAAGGUCCCCCANAUUGGAACUGAGACACGGUCCAAACUCCUACGGGAGCAGCAGUGAGGAAUAUUGGUCAAUGGACGAGAGUCUGAACCAGCCAAGUAGCGUGCAGGAUGACGGCCCUAUGGGUUGUAAACUGCUUUUAUAAGGGAAUAAAGUGAGUCUCGUGAGACUUUUUGCAUGUACCUUAUGAAUAAGGACCGGCUAAUUCCGUGCCAG
rnacentral:rRNA from 1 species